rnacentral:lncRNA from 1 species
CAUCAGCCCUCUCCGCAUCUAUCCUGAUGUGUACAUUGGAUUGCGACACCAACAUAUGGUGACCCCCGACGUGAUCCAAGAUAGGUGGCAUUAUUGAGGAUGGUACAUCAGCUGCAGAAAGAUAUAUUGGUCAAACUCAGAACCAUAUGGCCCAACAAAGGCCGCAUUACACACAUCUGUUUUGACACAACAUCGUGGCAAACUGUGGAUUAAAACGUCCUUAUACGGAUAUCUGGGAGGGCCCUUUUAUGGUUAAAUGUGGGAAGAGAGGAGCUCUUUGUGUUUUGAAGAUAAAGGCGUUGAGUGCAUUCCAUCAAAACGCACACAGCCUGCUCUGGAAUAACUGGAAAAUGGACAAACGGGAUGCCUUCAGAGCCAUGCACCCAAAGCUUGACAUUGUGCAGUUAUUCCUUAAGCCCCUGCUCAUUGGAGAGCUUAUCCCAGAAGAGGCCAUCCAGGAGAGAAACAAAAAUAUCUUGAUUUUGGAAGCACUGGCUUGGUUAAUACUGUGACAUUUUGGAAAAUGGCUGGCUUAUUACGAUAUUCAUUUCCUUUCUUCUCACAAUUUCUCAGGCUUUGAGAACUUCUGUCCCAUGAAUCAUCCUAUGACCUGGCUGUGGGGACAAGUUUGAGAAGCUCAAAUACUUUAUUUUGACUUUGGAGAUGCAUGAAGAAAACUGCGAUAGUAAAGGAUAUUUCAGGAGAGAAAUCUUGUGGCUAAUCAACCCUCUCUUAUCCUCAGCGCAUAUCGAGAAAGUGGUGGAAUUAUGCACACUUCCAGCAUCAUGUAAAACCAAACAUCUACUACAAAGACCCAGAUAUUAAUUUGGUACCACUAUUUCUGGUUGGAGAUUUGCAACCUGUCAAGAAACCACUGCCCAAGUGCCUUGAAGACACUUAGAGACACCAGCUCUAAUAUGGACUUCUUCAACUACAGAAAACAAAAUG